CUUUGGACUUGCUCACUUUUAUUUAAGAGUCCGACGGGGGAAAGAGGGAAAAAAAAUCCAGAGGAGAUCCAAGUCAAGUGGAAGAAAAAAUUUCAAAAGGGUGUCCACAGAGGCGAAAAAAGCCCAGGCUCUACCGACCUUCAAACUACAACAGAGCUUUCAGGAGAAUGCGGAGAGACGGCUUCCCACCCGGACCUCACUAGAAACCCGCACACCCCAGCCACAUUGCUCCUCUUUCAGCCAGAAAGGACUCCAACUCCACCACCAGGAGGCCCCCCUUCCUGGUGCUGGCCAGUUGCAGAGGCUGUUCAUGGCAUCCCACAGGUGGCGACUGCCCCCCACCCUCCUCCUAGCACUUUAGAGGGUCCCUCUGUGGCAGACACCAUGGCUAGGUUUCUCUUUCCAACUCCUGUUGGUCUGGCAAGUGACAGAUCAUCUUCACUACAUUAAUCAGUAGUCACCCAAACAUUCCUAUACUGUCCCCCAAUUCCUUUCAGCACCAGCUGCCUCCCCCACUGGAAUUAUUCAAUAUGGAACUAGAUUAAAUUGAAGACUUGCCCUUUA